GAUAGGAGAAUGGAAAGUGAAAGAGGGUAGAACGAGAGCGAACGUUAGGUUGCACCUCCAUGGUGGUGGUACAUAAAGACAGCUUUCGCCCGUUAUCGAGCCCGAUUCCAACCCCGUCGUUGUCCCCCUCCAUCAGCCGAACCCACGCCACACCAACCUCUACCUCUGCUGCCCUUAUCGGCUCAACAAAUUUAACUUGAUUUCCUAUACGGACUUUGCGGAGCUCCGGGGAAAUACAGAGCUGGCUUCGGCCCGUCUACGUCUAAACUCGCUUUACGAUAAGGGAUAAGCCUCACCCUACAUCUACCAUUCCUCCUCUUCCUCAUUCGCCCCUCUUUUCGUCUCUUUCACCCCCUCUUUCUCUCCUUCUGAUCAUCUCUCUCUCUCUUUCUUGUUAGUCGAGCACCACCACGAACCAUCCGUUCAACGAUGUCGAAUCCUCUUGACCCGGCCGGCCCGAACUUUUCCACGAGGGGUCGAGGAAAAGGGGAGGAGAAGUUUUCGAAGUAGCACGGUUUCCUUCGCGCCGAAAAAGAUCCAAUGAGAUUUCUCGAGGACGAGAGAACGUGCCAUCGACGGCUUGCUUGCUGGCUUCCGUUUGUUGCGAGAUCGACGGUUAUUUUGGGCUUAGUUAUGGAAUAGAAGAAAGAAUUGGGUUGUUUUCAGAUCAGAGGAAGAUGAGUAUAAAUAAAUUCAAUCACAAAGGAUCCGUCCAGUCGACACUAUUUCGCGUACAUUGCAAAGCUUACCGCAUUACCGGUAUAUUAAACAUCGUACAGCCAGUUUGAAAUGACGGCUCUCCGGAGAGGCAGAAGCUCGAGAGUCAGAAAGACAGCGCCGAGAGGGGUAGAGGACGAAUGAGAGAGUGGCGUAUGGUACACGCAGUCUGGCGCAUAGUCUCUGUAUAAUUCAGUCAUAUCCAUGCUAAUCCCACCGGCCGGCUCACAUUCUCCAUGAUGGAUGCACAGCCACCGGAGAAUUGCCCUUUUCAUUGAAAUACAACUAAAAUUAAACUCAUUUGUUGCUCCCUCGGCGGGGAUAACGAUACUGUCCAUUUUGUGUUUUCUUGGGAUAAAUACUUUCUUCGAGGAUUAUAUCGAUAUUUUCGAGGAUACGAAUCGCAACAGAAUAAUUAAAUUUAAUUGAAUUAUUUGUGAAAGAAAAAAUGUUUGAUAUAAAAGUUACAACAAUCGUACAAAGGAAGAUGUAAUUAAAUGCAUAUUUUUGCAAAUUGAUUCUAAUCGAUUCUAAUUAUAAUUUUCAGAUUUUAAGAUGUUCCCUAAUAACCUGGAUGGCAAUAACUACAAGUUUAGUGAUCACACCGUAUAAAUAUUGAGAAUUAUUAUCUUGGAUUAGAUCGAAGAUUUUUCAAAGUGUAUAAAGCAGAUGGAAUAAUAUUGGAGAAGACGGUUUAACUGAAAAAUCGUAAGGCGAUCGGUCAUAUAAUACGUUCAAUAAAUAGAAACGUAACAACAGAUGUGCCGGAUACUUAUUCGACAGAUGUGUCGAUAUUUUCUCAUGGAAAGAGCACAGCUCAGAGAGACACGGUUGGUAAUAUUGGGAGAAAGCAUCGCGCGUCGCAAGAAAGGUUUUUGCGGAGGGUUUAGGAAAAUGUCGAUUAUGUUACACGCAUAAAAUGAUAAUCGGCGAAUACGAAUGCUAUAUGUAUAAAAAAAA
rnacentral:lncRNA from 1 species